AAAGGAAUAGACGGGGGCCCGCACAAGCGGUGGAGCAUGUGGUUCAAUUCGAUGAUACGCGAGGAACCUUACCUGGGUUUGACAUGUAGACUGAUAAGGUAGAGAUAUUUUAGCGUAGCAAUACGAGUCUACACAGGUGCUGCAUGGCUGUCGUCAGCUCGUGCCGUGAGGUGUUGGGUUAAGUCCCGCAACGAGCGCAACCCUUGCCGUCAGUUGCCAGCAGGUAAAGCUGGGGACUCUGGCGGGACAGCCGUCGAAAGACGGAGGAAGGUGGGGACGACGUCAAGUCAUCAUGGCCCUUAUGUCCAGGGCAACACACGUGCUACAAUGGUAGACACAGAGAGGAGCGGUACCGCGAGGUAUAGCAGAACUAAGAAAGUCUAUCUAAGUCCGGAUCGGAGUCUGAAACUCGACUCCGUGAAGUUGGAAUCGCUAGUAAUCGCACAUCAGCACGGUGCGGUGAAUACGUUCCCGGGCCUUGUACACACCGCCCGU
rnacentral:rRNA from 1 species